rnacentral:rRNA from 1 species
GACGAACGCUGGCGGCACGCUUAACACAUGCAAGUCGAACGAGAGAAGAGAAGCUUGCUUUUCUGAUCUAGUGGCGGACGGGUGAGUAACACGUGAGCAAUCUGCCUUUCAGAGGGGGAUACCGAUUGGAAACGAUCGUUAAUACCGCAUAACAUAAUUGAACCGCAUGAUUUGAUUAUCAAAGAUUUAUCGCUGAAAGAUGAGCUCGCGUCUGAUUAGCUAGUUGGUAAGGUAACGGCUUACCAAGGCGACGAUCAGUAGCCGGACUGAGAGGUUGAUCGGCCACAUUGGGACUGAGACACUGCCCAGACUCCUACGGGAGGCAGCAGUGGGGAAUAUUGCACAAUGGAGGAAACUCGGAUGCAGCGAUGCCGCGUGAGGGAAGAAGGUUUUAGGAUUGUAAACCUCUGUCUUCAGGGACGAAAAAAGACGGUACCUGAGGAGGAAGCUCCGGCUAACUACGUG